rnacentral:misc_RNA from 1 species
UCUCCGUAGGUGAACCUGCGGAGGGAUCAUUACAGAGCUCAUGCCCUAACGGGUAGAACUCCCACCCUCUGUUAUUAUAACUUCGUUGCUUUGGCGGGCCGCCUUUUACUAUGCUACCGGCUUCGGCUGGUGAGCGCCUGCCAGAGAAACCCAAACUCUGAAUAUUUUUGACGACUGAGUACUAUAUAAUAGUUAAAACUUUCAACAACGGAUCUCUUGGUUCUG